CUUUGAAUUGAUACACAAAAGGAGCAAUCCUUCGCAAGUAAGAGCAGAAUCGAACACCGAUCGCUUGCUACUAGGUUCACGACGAUGCGACACGUGGAACUCAAUCAAAGCGAGGAUCAAGCUGUAUACGAAUGGAAAAAGAAUUGAAGACAGUUGUUCACGAAUCGGAGGAUUUUUCUGGGUUCAAAGUUCGUCGAAUUAGGGAUUUUAUUUUUUUGUAGGACUAGCUUCCAUUUGGGGAUUUUGAUUUUUUUUUUCUUACUAAAAUAGUAACAAAAAGGACACAUUUAAAUAUUAAUUUUGAUGUCUGAAAUGCGAUAAUUGGCGCAACAAAAAGGCGCAAAAAAUGAAAAACUCGCGCCGCAAAAUGUUUUAUCGGAGAGAUCAGGUUCAACUAACUACCAAUAUGUAUGUUCCUGUCCGUCCGAUCAAAACCUUUCUUAAUUUGCAACUUCACCCUUGUAAUUAUCUCUUUGAACAAAACAUCCUAAUUCUUCCAAACCUGAAAAAUAAACACUUAAACCAGAAUUUAUGAACCGAUUACACUGUACAAAUCACUGUUCAAAAAAAAUUGCAAACCAUUAAAAUUAAAUGUUUUAGACGAAUUAUUUAAAAUUUAAAUUUAAAUGAACCAUUGAUUUAUUUUAUACUUCAUAUGUUUCAGAAAGAUGUAUGUUGUAAGAUUUUCACACUUAUUAAAAAAAAAACAUAUCAGAUUUUAGUUAACAGUGCAUUAUUUUCAUAGCAGACCAGAUCUUUCUGCAACUGUCUCUUCCAGUCCUUGUUCCUUCAGCAGCUUAACUAGUUUCAUAGUAAUAGGCAAUAGUCAUUCGAGAAUGAGGUGGAGAGAAAGCACUGAAAGACAAUAUUUUGGCUUGUAAACUCAAAUCAGCAUCGAUGUAGUGCGCAGUCAAGCUGAGAUAACCUUAAAUGGUAAUAGCCCUCCAAAAAUUUGUUGUCAAACAAACCCUACUAGAAAAAUCAUUUAAGAUUUUCCUAAAUUUUUGUUUUUUAUUCUCAUAAAUUUUCAACACAUCAUAACUGUUGUGAUUCUACUCCAAUACUGAAUAGUAGAAUUAGCAUAAGAAAAAAAUCAAUCCAAUCCUUUUAUACUCUACAAACUUAUAUGGAAGAUCAUAUUUUAUAAUGGCCAUUGUUAUCAUCUCACGAAACAUCAUCAUAUCAACCUUUUGAGAAGUUCUAUGUGUUCCAGCAGAUUUUAGACAAACCUUCAUGUGGCAAAUCAAACUUGAAGUUCCAUUUCGACUAAGAUUUAAGCAGUAAAUCUUUUUACAAAGGUUACAUCUGAUAUUGGUUUUACCAUCAGGUAGUUUUCCUCCAAUUAUAAUGAACUUUUUCCAGCAUCUAGAUACUACGACUAGACUGAAAUCGUUUUGGUUGUGUACCUUUGUUAGUCUCUGAAAUUUCUAUACUUCAUGAUCCUCUAUAUCUUCAUCCAUCACAUCAUUUUGACCAUCAUCAUUCAAAUCCAUAGCUUCCAUCUUCUGAAACAACAAAAUAUUUAAAUGGGAAAGAAACAAUCAUCAUAAUAUAUAAACAAGUUUUGACCAGUACUAGGUUUAUAUCAAAGAUAAAUAAUACCUUAAGUCUGAAGAUCAAACUGAGGCAUGUAGCAAGUGAAGGAAAUCUGUAAAGGAUAUAUACAAGAUAUAUCCAUGAAAACAAGAUACAUCAUACAAACAAUGGAAACAAGAUACGUGUGUCAUUAACAUACGUGUGUCAUUUGUCACUUUCUUUAUAUAAUGAUGCUUUUAAAACUAUGUAAAACAAGCACUACAAGAUUAAUGAAACAUAAACACACAAAGCCCACAACCCAUAACGAGACUGACUUAAGUUAAGAGACUAACAAUUAUGGUAUGAAAGUUUACAAGCACUACAAGAUUAAUGAAACUGAACUAUGACAAACACAAAGAACCCUUACGUUUAUAAGAUAGACAUAUACACUAAUAGACUACUCAGUUUAUAAGCGCAAAAUUCUUUAAUCAGAGAGACCUCAUGAGUUAUGACUACUCAGUGUCAUUGUUUCAUUGCUUCACUCACGACCAUCAAUAAUCUUAAGCCAUGGAAAUGAGAUUCAUCAUCAUCAAUAAUUAAACACAGAAUCCUAACUUUACUACAAAGAAAGAUGAAACCCAAAAACAUGAACACACAAAACCCACAACCCAUAACGAGGUGGAUGACGAGUUAAACCCACAUAACCCGAGAUCGAAGUUAAAACUUGAGAAUCAUACCUGAAAUCGUGAGGAAAAGAAGAAGUCAGACGUAGAGAAAUGGAGACAGAGCUAAACCUCCUUGUAAGUAGAUGACACAUUUACCAGGAACGAAAACCUUCAAUCAAAAAGGAGAUUCAGUUUAAAGGGUUUCGGUAAACCUUCAAUCGAAAACAAAGGAAUGGUUCGAAAGUUACCUUGAUUUAUCUAUCUAAGGAGAAGAUGUAAGGAAAAACUUGUGGGUAAGAAAAUAUAGGAAUGAAGAAGAAAAAUUUGGGAGGGAAGAAGAGAAUCGCAGAAGAGAAUCGCAGAAGAGAAAAUCGUGACUAAAUUUUUUUCAAAUUGUCUAAAUCUUAAUAAUAAAAUGUUUUGGGCCAACCCAACAUCCAUUUGGUUUGGACCAGUUAGCCCAUGAGUAAAGUUGGUCUUUAACCCAAUUAGACCAUAAGUUAUUUGGGUAUGACCAUCACCAACCCAUGUGUUGUUUGGAAUGGUUUAAUCCAUAGUUGGCCCAACCAAUUGUCAGUUCUAGCGAUUGAUGAGGAAAAGAAAAACUGAAAUCUUCGAAACAAAGAACCCUCAAAAUAAAAUUUAAUUUCACCCCAAAUUUGAGAUAUUAUUACAAUUUUAUCCUGAAUUUAAGAUUCAUUGUAGUUCAUGGCACAGUGGCCAUUGUUUUUUUGAACCGGUGAUAGAAUCGGUUUAUGAUUUAAACCGAAUUGUUCCCUUUCAACGGAUACAAACAGAAAAUAACUACCGAGUUACAGAAAAUACACUUAUAUGAGAAGUCUUUACAAAGAAAGAUUGUUAAAUAGACUAGUGAACAAUGAUCUUUAGUCUUCUACAUGAAGACUUUAUAUGUUCACAUCUAAACUAUACUAAAAGCAGGAUAUAAAGCUCUAUGGAGAUGUCCACGUCGGAUGGUAAAUUCCAACCAAUGAUAGAGUUUUAUCUCUCCACGUCAUUGUUUAUUCUGUCGAAAUGAAAACCAGUGGGCUUCUUCGUGUAGUGGCCCAAAGAAAUCCUAACAUACGAAGAAAGCUUCGAUCGAGCGAUUAUAACUUUCCCAUUUCGUCUUUUCCGUCUCAUCUUCAUGAAAUCUCCGUUAUCCCAACCCAUCUCUGUACAAUCAAUUGUAUUCAUUAUUCUCCACUUUUUGAGUUCGUUUCACAUCCCUUUGCUACUCCAUCUUUAUAAAACCCUCUGGCUAUACUUUUAUCCACCCAGAAACGCUAACCUCCAUUGAAUAAGCUGAAGCUACGGCGAUGAAACCCAACGGGGAGUCUCCCCUCUUCACCGGAAACUCUCCCGUCGCUUUGUAUUACUGCAAUCGGUGCCGGAAUGGUCGUCUACUAGAUCACAAGAUGAGACCUUCAACGAUUUGGAGCUGGAGCUCGAUGGUGACAGCGGAGAUGACAUGGAAAUAACGGAUAGUGAGAUUCUUCUUUCCUUUCGUGUCCUGAAACAUUUUCAAAGAAAAAACUACUUUUAAAGCUUGGUUUUUGGAAUUUCGGAUCCUCAAGGUAAUUGAUUUGUCAUCCAAAUGGAUUUCAUAGCUUCCAAUGAAUAGUUAUCCCGCUACGUCGCAUAUGCUCAGGUAUUAGAGGGGUCGGUUUAUCAUUUUCAGGAGAUUCUUCCAUGGGUACUCAUUUAUCAAAGUACUGAUGAUUCUUAACCACACUUUCAGGUAAAAGCUGCUUCUGAUGCCAAAUUCUUCUCUUAAUAUGUUUUAUUUUACUUUUUUUUGCAAGAAAAAUGGAAUGAAGGACUGUGUUAAAGUUGAUUUUGUUUUGUAAAAAUUAUAGGUUAGUUUCUCAUCUCUUACAUUCUUCUUCAGUCUGCAUUAUAAAGUAUAAACUAUAUUUACACGAUAAGAAUGUCACUGAUAGUGGUGAAGGACAUGAAUCAGGUACUUAUGACUAACCAGUUAUGAGGCUUUUGGAUGAGUGGCAGUGAUCUGAUUGUUGACUAUGGUAGGUAUAUCUUGGGAUUCCAUUGAUAGUUUUUGCUCUGUUAAUUUUUAUUUUAGAGCCUUUGUUUAUGAUACCAUGCGGAUUUGAAACAUUCAUGUCUAACAAAACAAACAUUCGGAGUGAGACAGAAAACGUUACGGCUGGUUGACUAAUAUGUUGGGGACUCCUUCUGCGGAAGCCAUUGGAAGGUUAGGAACGGUAAAGCUCGAAGGUACUUGAGCAGCAUGAGGAAGAAGAAGCCUAUUCCUUUCUCACAUAAGUUUCCACGUUCUUAACCUCUUGCUGUGAAAACUGUUGUGUCUGAAAGCUAUAUCUAUAUAUAUGAGAAAUCCAGAAAGACUGAAAACUCUAUACGUAGCUUACUAAGA